AGAGUUUGAUCCUGGCUCAGGAUGAACGCCGGCGGUGUGCCUAAUACAUGCAAGUCGUACGCACUGGCCCAACUGAUUGAUGGUGCUUGCACCUGAUUGACGUUGGAUCACCAGUGAGUGGCGGACGGGUGAGUAACACGUAGGUAACCUGCCCCGGAGCCGGGGGAUAACAUUUGGAAACAGAUGCUAAUACCGCAUAACAACAAAAGCCACAUGGCUUUUGUUUGAAAGAUGGCUUUGGCUAUCACUCUGGGAUGGACCUGCGGUGCAUUAGCUAGUUGGUAAGGUAACGGCUUACCAAGGCGAUGAUGCAUAGCCGAGUUGAGAGACUGAUCGGCCACAAUGGAACUGAGACACGGUCCAUACUCCUACGGGAGGCAGCAGUAGGGAAUCUUCCACAAUGGGCGCAAGCCUGAUGGAGCAACACCGCGUGAGUGAAGAAGGGUUUCGGCUCGUAAAGCUCUGUUGUUGGAGAAGAACGUGCGUGAGAGUAACUGUUCACGCAGUGACGGUAUCCAACCAGAAAGUCACGGCUAACUACGUGCCAGCAGCCGCGGUAAUACGUAGGUGGCAAGCGUUAUCCGGAUUUAUUGGGCGUAAAGCGAGCGCAGGCGGUUGCUUAGGUCUGAUGUGAAAGCCUUCGGCUUAACCGAAGAAGUGCAUCGGAAACCGGGCGACUUGAGUGCAGAAGAGGACAGUGGAACUCCAUGUGUAGCGGUGGAAUGCGUAGAUAUAUGGAAGAACACCAGUGGCGAAGGCGGCUGUCUGGUCUGCAACUGACGCUGAGGCUCGAAAGCAUGGGUAGCGAACAGGAUUAGAUACCCUGGUAGUCCAUGCCGUAAACGAUGAGUGCUAGGUGUUGGAAGGGUUUCCGCCCUUCAGUGCCGGAGCUAACGCAUUAAGCACUCCGCCUGGGGAGUACGACCGCAAGGUUGAAACUCAAAGGAAUUGACGGGGGCCCGCACAAGCGGUGGAGCAUGUGGUUUAAUUCGAAGCUACGCGAAGAACCUUACCAGGUCUUGACAUCUUGCGCUAACCUUAGAGAUAAGGCGUUCCCUUCGGGGACGCAAUGACAGGUGGUGCAUGGUCGUCGUCAGCUCGUGUCGUGAGAUGUUGGGUUAAGUCCCGCAACGAGCGCAACCCUUGUUACUAGUUGCCAGCAUUAAGUUGGGCACUCUAGUGAGACUGCCGGUGACAAACCGGAGGAAGGUGGGGACGACGUCAGAUCAUCAUGCCCCUUAUGACCUGGGCUACACACGUGCUACAAUGGACGGUACAACGAGUCGCAAGCUCGCGAGAGUAAGCUAAUCUCUUAAAGCCGUUCUCAGUUCGGACUGUAGGCUGCAACUCGCCUACACGAAGUCGGAAUCGCUAGUAAUCGCGGAUCAGCAUGCCGCGGUGAAUACGUUCCCGGGCCUUGCAAUCACCGCCCGUCA
rnacentral:rRNA from 1 species